rnacentral:rRNA from 1 species
GACGAACGCUGGCGGCGUGCUUAACACAUGCAAGUCGAACGGAAAGGCCCUGCUUUUGUGGGGUGCUCGAGUGGCGAACGGGUGAGUAACACGUGAGUAACCUGCCCUUGACUUUGGGAUAACUUCAGGAAACUGGGGCUAAUACCGGAUAGGAGCUCCUGCUGCAUGGUGGGGGUUGGAAAGUUUCGGCGGUUGGGGAUGGACUCGCGGCUUAUCAGCUUGUUGGUGGGGUAGUGGCUUACCAAGGCUUUGACGGGUAGCCGGCCUGAGAGGGUGACCGGCCACAUUGGGACUGAGAUACGGCCCAGACUCCUACGGGAGGCAGCAGUGGGGAAUAUUGCACAAUGGGCGGAAGCCUGAUGCAGCAACGCCGCGUGCGGGAUGACGGCCUUCGGGUUGUAAACCGCUUUCGCCUGUGACGAAGCGUGAGUGACGGUAAUGGGUAAAGAAGCACCGGCUAACUACGUGCCAGCAGCCGCGGUGAUACGUAGGGUGCGAGCGUUGUCCGGAUUUAUUGGGCGUAAAGGGCUCGUAGGUGGUUGAUCGCGUCGGAAGUGUAAUCUUGGGGCUUAACCCUGAGCGUGCUUUCGAUACGGGUUGACUUGAGGAAGGUAGGGGAGAAUGGAAUUCCUGGUGGAGCGGUGGAAUGCGCAGAUAUCAGGAGGAACACCAGUGGCGAAGGCGGUUCUCUGGGCCUUUCCUGACGCUGAGGAGCGAAAGCGUGGGGAGCGAACAGGCUUAGAUACCCUGGUAGUCCACGCUGUAAACGGUGGGUACUAGGUGUGGGGUCCAUUCCACGGGUUCCGUGCCGUAGCUAACGCUUUAAGUACCCCGCCUGGGGAGUACGGCCGCAAGGCUAAAACUCAAAGGAAUUGACGGGGCCCCGCACAAGCGGCGGAGCAUGCGGAUUAAUUCGAUGCAACGCGUAGAACCUUACCUGGGUUUGACAUGGAUCGGGAGCGCUCAGAGAUGGGUGUGCCUCUUUUGGGGUCGGUUCACAGGUGGUGCAUGGCUGUCGUCAGCUCGUGUCGUGAGAUGUUGGGUUAAGUCCCGCAACGAGCGCAACCCUUGUUCACUGUUGCCAGCACGUUAUGGUGGGGACUCAGUGGAGACCGCCGGGGUCAACUCGGAGGAAGGUGGGGAUGACGUCAAGUCAUCAUGCCCCUUAUGUCCAGGGCUUCACGCAUGCUACAAUGGCUGGUACAGAGAGUGGCGAACCUGUGAGGGUGAGCGAAUCUCGGAAAGCCGGUCUCAGUUCGGAUUGGGGUCUGCAACUCGACCUCAUGAAGUCGGAGUCGCUAGUAAUCGCAGAUCAGCAACGCUGCGGUGAAUACGUUCCCGGG